AUUGAACGCUGGCGGCAGGCCUAACACAUGCAAGUCGAGCGGAUGAAGGGAGCUUGCUCCUGGAUUCAGCGGCGGACGGGUGAGUAAUGCCUAGGAAUCUGCCUGGUAGUGGGGGAUAACGUCCGGAAACGGGCGCUAAUACCGCAUACGUCCUGAGGGAGAAAGUGGGGGAGCUUCGGACCUCACGCUCUCAGAUGAGCCUAGGUCGGAUUAGCUAGUUGGUGGGGUAAAGGCCUACCAAGGCGACGAUCCGUAACUGGUCUGAGAGGAUGAUCAGUCACACUGGAAGUGAGACAGGGUCAAGAGUCCUGCGGGAGGCACCAGUGGGGAAUAUUGGACAAUGGGCGGAAGCCUGAUCCAGCCAGGCGGCGUGUGUGAAGAAGGUCUUCGGAUUGUAAAGCACUUUAAGUUGGGAGGAAGGGCAGUAAGUUAAUACCUUGCUGUUUUGACGGUACCAGGAAAAUAAGCACCGGCUAACUACGUG
rnacentral:rRNA from 1 species